rnacentral:rRNA from 1 species
UACAGAGGGUGCGAGCGUUGUUCGGAAUUAUUGGGCGUAAAGGGCGCGUAGGCGGUGUGGUAAGUCACCUGUGAAAUCUCCUGGCUCAACUGGGAGCUUGCAGGCGAAACUGCCGUGCUGGAGUGUGGGAGAGGUGCGUGGAAUUCCUGGUGUAGCGGUGAAAUGCGUAGAUAUCAGGAGGAACACCUGUGGCGAAAGCGGCGCACUGGACCACAACUGACGCUGAGGCGCGAAAGCUAGGGGAGCAAACAGG